rnacentral:rRNA from 1 species
UACGUAGGGUGCAAGCGUUGUCCGGAAUUAUUGGGCGUAAAGAGCUCGUAGGCGGUUUGUCGCGUCUGCUGUGAAAACUCAGGGCUUAACCCUGAGCCUGCAGUGGGUACGGGCAGACUAGAGUGUGGUAGGGGAGAUCGGAAUUCCUGGUGUAGCGGUGGAAUGCGCAGAUAUCAGGAGGAACACCGGUGGCGAAGGCGGUUCUCUGGGCCUUACCUGCGCUGAGGAGCGAAGCGUGGGAGC